GAUUCUGUAACAACUGCAUCCUCCCCCUGGGUUUGGGCAAGGGGAGAAAGCUUGUAGCACUUGGUUGCUUUGCCUCCGGGGUGCACCUGACCCACCUGAUCCUGGCUUAAGAAACAGAGGGACUUUUUAUUUUAUAAAUUUCCUUCAUUAGCUGAGUCUCUUGUUUUCCCUCUCCUUAACUUUACAUGCGUGAAGCCCUUGUGUUUCCUCCCAACAGGCAGCCAGAGUUUCAAGGAAAAGCACCAACUUGUCCCAGACUUUACAGGAUUACAGGAUCCCAGGAUUACAUCUGAGAUUGUCAGAUAAAUGUAAAUGGAUGAAACAUCUGAAUUUAGAAGAAACUGAGUGGGACGUGGGUAGAACUCUGCAGAAGAACUCUGAUGGCUGCAUUAAAAAGCGGAAUCCACAGCUCAAAAUCUUGGAUAUUCUCUCCUAGAUACAUUGGAAAAUAUCCUGAGCAGCCCUGCCUGCAUCUAAGCUUUGUUUGGCUGCGCUCAGCUGUGGACUGAAAGGAGACAGCACAUCAGUUCCCAGUAAAGGUAAUUCUGUCCCUGUCUGCCAGUUUGGCUGUAGUGACAGGGGCUCACAGACUGUAGGGAGAUUUCCCCCCCCAUCGGAGAGUGGAACAGAGCCUGGCAGAGAAAAGGCACAAAUAAAGGGAAAGAAGAAGAGGGGAGAACAACUAGAUGCAAGACAGUAUGUGUUUGGGAAGCUUGGGAGUAGCAAGAAAAAGGGAAGCCCUACCACAGCUGAUUAUUGUGAUCAUAAGAAAAAAAAAAAAAAGGGGGUGAGUUCAGAAGUUUUGGGGUUGCUGGGAGUUUUCACUCCGUGGCAAAAUAAACAGAGUAGGCUGCUUUGUUCUUCACUGCCCCAGUUAUACUAAUUGCAGUACAGAUGCCUGGAUUUCCUUAAAGGGGUACAGGAUUUAUGUGAGGAUGCACCUUCCCUCAGCAUAGAUCUUUGCUGACCAAGAAUGCAAGGUGUGCAAAGAAUUACGCUCAACAGGUGGCUGAGGAUGGCUUUGAGUCAUCUCUUUGCUAAGUCUCUCUCUUUUUUUUUGUUUGUUUUUUCCCCAAAUCAUUUCCUGAGGCUUGCACAGGUGUGUGUCCUCCAGGAUGUGCUGUGAAGAGCUCAGAAAAAGAGAAGAGGGAGCUUGGCCUGAUCAGGGACAUCAUACUCGUGCUUGUUGCUGCCUUCUGAUUCCAUAACUCCUUCGUUUGUGUGGAUGACUCUUUCCAGCAGAGUGGAUCAGCUUCUGCCAUCGAGAUUCCUAUUCCACAUCACUGUGUUUGCAGCCAAUGGCGAGGAAAAGGAUGCUUCAAAUUCCCAAAGGUCACAAAACACUGGGAAAUCAACUCUGGAUUGUGUCUCUCAUAGGUUGGUGCUCAGACCUCUGGGACAUUACAUAAAUAGGCGAUGCUCCUUCCUUCUGCAUUUUAGAAGUUCCUGGCAGUGGGCUGGAAUUCCUCAUCCUGACUGGAAAUCAGCACCUCUGCCAUUCAGAAAAGGGCAGCUUGUUGUCGAAGAAGGGCUUUACCCCUGUCCUUGGCACCUCCAGCAUCUGCAGAGGCAGUUUUCUGUUUGCUUUUGUGAAUCAUAUCCUGAGAUAUCUUGCUUUCUCUGGCCAUUGCACAGGGAGUUUGAGUGCCUGACUUAUCUUCAUGCCUUACCUUGGGUGGAAAAGUGCCUGAAGUUAAAAUGUGGAGCUCUCAGUAUCACUGCCUGUAUCCUUCUGUGGCCCAAGCUCUCAUUCCUGAACUUGCUGGGAACUGGACUCCUAAAUUCUGUGUGGGCCUGUGCAAAAUUACUGCAGUGCCACUGAGGUGCUUCUGCCAGUGACAAUGAACAACAGGUGGGCUCCAGAAUCCCUGAGGCUGGCUGGCACUUCUGGAGACCAUCUAGCCCUCCCCCUGGCUCAGAACAGAGUCAGCUGGAGCUGCCCAGCACCGUGUCUAAUUGGGGUUUUAAUAUCUUGAGACUCCACAGUCUCUCUGGGCGAUCUGGCCCAGUUUAACAAUCCCCGUGGUACAAGAAAUGGUUUUCUUAUGUUCAGAACAUCUGCACAUCUGGAACCCUGCACUGGGGAAGCGGGUGUGGUCCUGUUCCAUGCUGGGACUACCCUUUAAGAAGGUGAGCUGCAGUGAGUCAGUGUUUUUUGGCCAGGAGAUCCCUGGGGGUCCUCCCCUGGCAAGCUGAGAGCCAGCAUUAGUGGGAGGUGGGAUAGAGAGCAGCACAGAGGCGUCCCAGGGGGACUGGGCUGCACUGUGUCCUAUCCCAGCCCACCAAACUCUGGGCUGCAUCACCUGAGAGUACCUGGGAUGUCCCUUUCCCUCCAGACAAAGCCUCCUGCUGCAAAGAAGCCCGGCAGCCAGAGGAGCAGGGCCCUGUACCCUGAUGUGCUCCUGCUUCCUGCAGUGCCUUGUGCUAUCAGCAGGCCGAGAGGCAGCUUGGACACUGCCCUCCCACUCAGACAUCCUCCUGGUAAACAUCCUGUCCCGCUGGAGCCCGGUGCUGUCACGUCCUCACUGCUCCGCAGCAGUCACUGCUCUGGGUUUCAUUCUCCUACAAGCAGAGCACACAGUUGUGCGUGUAAAAAAGCCAGGCAGACAGCAGGACAGAACCUGGCAGUAACUCUUGGUUAAGCUGCUGACAUGCCAGAAGUACUGCAGAGGAAGGGAGUUGUCUAAGGGUCGUAAAAUUAACUAAAAUCAUCUUCUUGAGCCCUCCUUGGAAAACCAAUUCCCUCUCCUAGGCGUGUUUAGCAGCUGUACCUUACUCCAGGCAGAUGCAAACCUGUGUGUGUAUGACAAGAAGAACCUUUGUAAUCGUGGAAAGUAAGAGAACAGUGAACUGGAAGCUGAGCUGGAGUAAGUUUACACAAGCAGCAAGUAAAACACCCAUCCCCAGUGAGUCAGGUCCGGCUGUUUCCUUCAUUUCCUCCAAGGCUUGCUGGGAACAUCCCAGCCCUUCGUCUCCUUUCCUGCCCCUUGUUUACAGCUCUCCCUCGGGAGAGAGCAGAGUCCCAGCAUCCAGCACUGCAUUUUCACUGCAGCACACAGGGAAGGGCAGGCUCCCCGGGGCCUCAGCUCAGCUUUGGUACCGCAGUGCACUCGUAGGUGCCAGUGCCAGCACCUCCUCGAGCCGCAGCAGCUGCUCGACUGGAAGAGGAAAAAAUGUUGCAUUUCCACAGUUUACUCGUGGGGGUUUUUUUUAUUUUUAUCUUGAAUACAGCCUUUUGAUUGACAGAGGAUCUCUAUUCUUACAUCCAUCGCUUUGGAUUCAGUCCGGUAGGGCAGAAAGGACACGCUGGAAUGUUACGCUGUUGGAGUGUGCAAACCGUCUCUCAGAGAUGUGGCUUUGAGCUUCCCUGGUUCAGAUGAAGGCGUAUCUCAUGCUCUGAUUUCCCCACAUGACAGCAGCUGGGGAGGAGCAGUAUUUUUAGCUUUUGUCUCUUGGUUUACUUACAGGAAGUUCCUCAUUUGUGGAAGUGAGCUUGGGCCGGACUUAGUCUGGGAAUCUGCUUCCGUGCCAGCCGUAGGUGACGUCUUAAGGGUGAACUCCUGCUGUUGUCUGGCAGAGCCCUCACUUAUCCCAGGUGUCCCAGAAACUGUGGACUUCACAUAGACAAGUACUGACUUCUGGAAUCUUCCCUGAAAUUUGUUCAAGGAUGUGUCCAGGCGGCUGUGACGGAAAAGGCUUAGGAAAAUGUAGAGCUGGCAAAGUCCUUCAGGUGAUAUGACCAGAGAUGCCUUCCUGUGUGAAACUGGUUAUAAACCCACAUAAUCUGAGUUAAUAAUAGUAGCUCUGAGACAAAACCCAUCCUGUCAAAGAGCAAGUACAUCCCAAGAGAAGCAGGCACAGAAUGAAAAGGGCUCUCAAGUGCCCUCUCUCCUGGGAAUCCCAGAUAGCCUGCAGCCAACAAGUGACCUAGAUACAGCACUGUGUUUGCUCCUGCAGAAUAAAACCAGGAACAAAAUAAUCCACUAAAAUUAUCUAUCUUCAUAAUCCUUGUUCAACCUCAUCCAUUUUCUUUUCAUACAAAAAAGAUCAGGGACUCUUUGUACGAAUGGAUACCUGCAUAGUGUUUCCUGCUCAUCAAUAGCAUUUGGCAACUCACUGAUUGAAUUUUCAGUGAAAUAGGAGUAAGCUUUUACAUUUUUAGGAAGAUUUUCCUCAUUCAAAUUUGCAGAAAUUACGUCUGAUAUACCUAAUGCAGUAUAACACCACCCCUCCUUCCUUCCUGUUGAAUAUAUGGCUUUUUUAAGCCCUUUUCCCACCUGAUUAAUAUAGAGAGAUCUAUAUUGAAGUGUCCCUGCAGGUAAAUAACAUGAGAUUGAGAUAAAGGGUUUUUUUCCCCCAAAACACAAAGCUUGAGCUAGUGCAGGGAAAAGAUGGUUUAUGACCAAGAACAUAAAUAAGGACAAUUUUUGUGGUUUACAUUGAAUGUCAGCAUAGGUGUCUUUUACUGAGUAAAACUACUGCAGUGAUUUCUGGCCUGUUGUCCACAAACAUCAGGAGACCUAGGAAAUACAAGGCAAUAUCUGUAAACAAGGAUCCAGAAAAUAAAUACCAGUUAAAAAAAGCCAGUGCUUCAUACUAUUAGGACGUACUCAUUCCUCCAUUGGUACUGGGGGAAUGAGUAGUCAGACAAGGAGAAAGACAGGAAAGCUUUUAAAGGGCUUUGCCUCCACUUCAUCAUCAAAAGUUUUAAUUCUUGGUUGUCCAGAAUCACAACAUCGAUCUUCCCAUCCAGAAACACCACAAACAAAUUCUGAAAAACCUUAACGCAAACUGGUUAUGCAAACAUUUCCGAGCAGCUGUUCUUGUACAGCAAUCCACACAGGCAAUUCCAAGCUCACUUACAAUUUUAAGGAAAUCUCUGGGCUUAUCCUUUUCCCCCUGUGAGUUGAUCCAUGUGAAGGAUACGCCAGUUGCUUGUUCCUGGCAGGUGCCUCUCACAGGCUGAAAUCCUCUGUUGCAGCUCCCAGGGAAGCUUUAGGAGGCAGCUCUUGGUUUCCUGUGGCGCUUUCAAUCUCUGUGUUUUGUGACUCUGAACACUGCAACAAAGCUAUUUUUUUUUUCCCAGAAUCCCUCUCUGAUCUCACGUACACGUGGCCUUCAGAGGUCUCUGAGAACAGCGGAGAGCUCUGUGGGCUGCGGUGCUGGGGAGCAGCAGCUUCCUGAGGAUAUUGUGGUCUGGUCCAGGCAGUGAGGAUGCUGUGGUGUCUCCAGCUGUCUGGGAUCCAGUUCUUCAGAUCCCUGUCUUGAAUACUGCCUCCACUGAACAGGAGAAUAAUUUGUUAAGAGCUUUGCUCCUCUCUGUGCUCCUUCUCUCCUGGGGCUCCAUCCAGAGCUCGGGCUGUAAUUCACAGCCUCGGUUCUUUAAAGCUGUCAUUUCCUCUCUUAGCUCCUGCAGUAUUCCUGAUCCUACAGUCGUUUAAGAACCAGGUUCUCCCUGCAGACUGGCCUGGGAAUUUGGCCUCUUGGGAUGGAGGAAGUUGGUGGAGAUGAGCAAACAGAUAACCGGGAAUUUCCCGGUGUUGUGUCCGGCCGUCCUUCCUGGGCGGUGGCUGCAGAGGGACAGGGAGCUGUGCAGAAGAUACUGCUGGAAUAAGAUGCAGCUAAAUCCUUGUGCAAACCUGAGGCAGAGCCCUAUUGCUAUGUCUUGGUGCAGUAAAUUGUUUCCCAGCCCACUCCAUACACACCUCUCCCUUCCACAUCCACAUGCAGGUAAUUGCUGGAUUUGAGUCUCUAACAGACUUGCUGCUUGACUUUACCUGCACCUCACUCACUGCUGUUUCCCUUCCUUAGGAGUGAGAAAAGGCUUAAAUAGAGAGGAUCCAUGAUCCAUUUUCUCCUUUUCCUCUUUGAGAAGUCCAGGAGAAGGCUACUCUGACUCAUAAAAUACUUACACUGCAUUUGCUAAGGCAAGAACUUAAGCAGAGUCCUCCUCCGAACUUUUCUCGUAUGUGUGGCUGUUCAUGGCAAUAACUUAGGGGGGUGUGUGACACUCAGAGCCCUCCACAGAAAGGAUGCUGGUAACAAAUCAAUUCACUACCAGAACAACCAGCACGGUUCAAAUUAUCCCUGUGACCUGGAUGUUUUGGUUUUUAUUGGUGGAUGAAAUUGCACAUAACAGGGUAACUUUUACUGAGAUAAACACAGUAAUUUCUCAUCGGCUUAGUUUUUGCAGAGGAGGAUAAACAAAGCUGAAAUGUGCCUUCCUCCACAUUCAGCAUCUUUGCAUGAGUCCUUGAGGUGGAGAUCUCCAAGCCUGGAUGUGUAAUAGUGCAGUGCCCCCUCAUGGGAAGCUGUUCCAGACGCUGUUUCCUGCAUCCAGAGUUAAUCUUUGCUCACGAUGAGGAGGGGCCGAUAAAUACAUCUUUCUCUGAGGGCUGUGGUUUCAAAAAUUCAGCAGUUUCACUCCUGUGAUUUUGCAGUUUGUCUUCUGGAAGGGAUGUGUGGAAUAGAAACAAUGAAGUAGUAAGACCAAAGAAGACAGAAGCCCAGAGGGGAAAAAGGUACUGAUGACAAAUCCCCUUUGGUCCCUUCAGCCAUUAAUCCUUGGGAAGAGCUGGUGGCAGCAGCUUUAGCCGUGGGGUUAAAUGUGCUUUUUACAAUUACUUGCAGUGAAAUUCAUUGUGAGAGUGAAUCAGGUCGUCGGUAUUUCAUCUGAACCGGAGUUGUGCAACUUCAAGUGACUCUGCAGGAGAUGGGUGCCCGUGAUAGGUUCCUCAUCCAGGGCUAGGAAGCUCUUCCAGGCAAAACAUCUCCUUGUGGUUACGCCUUUUCUUGCCUUUCCUCUUGCUCAUGGAGAAAACCUGUAUGUGGGACAAUGUGAAAGGCCUUUAAAAUGUCUUAAUUAUUCACUGAUAAGUAAGUGCCUCAAUGGAAACACCCAUAUUUUAUUUUAUUGCACGUUGUUAAAAAUAUAAAUGUCUAAAUCUGUAAUUAGAAAACCGUGUAAUAGUCCAUUCUUUGAAAGAGGAAGGAGUAUUCUGAACUAAGUUUUGUGGUGGCUGAUUUUGCAGUAGUAUUAUGUGUAAUGUUUUUGGUUUAUUCUGCUGGGCAGGGGUGAGAACUCUUUCUAUUUUUAAUUUUGUGCCUUAAUGUUAUGCAUAAUUCACAGUAGUUUCUUUUGUAUUUUUCUCAGUUGACUGUGCCUAAUGCAGUCAAACCAUGAAAUAUGUAUAUUAUUGUGGGAUGAGACACUUGCAGCAUGAAAGGGAUCAUCAGUAUUUAAACUCUGACCUCUAGGUUUGAUAAAAAACUUUUUAGAUCAGGUGUUCAGGUGUUCAUAAUAAUAAUAAUAAUAACAAUAAUAAUAAAGACACAAAGCAGAACUUUCACUCCUUCUACUAUCAACUUUACAAAGGACUUAAAAUAUUUGUUCUUAAGUGUUUCUUGCUUUCAGAAAAAGGCUAUAUGCUGUUUUUUUGCAAAGGAAAAUGUGAGAUUUACAGCUGAAAUGGAAAUUUAUAUGUACAGGCAUUUUUUCCCUGUUUUAUUUGUUUGUGAGUUGGUUUAGGUAGCAUUGUUUUAUCUAAAUCUUGUACCUUAUUUAUUAGUGAAUGUUCACUACUCAGCAAUCCUAGGAGAGGAAGUAGUGGGAGAGGAAUGGAGACUCGGUUCUUCAGCUCAGAAUGUAAUACUACAAAGAGUUCACAUUGGAUCCCAUUU